GAUGAACGCUGGCGGCGUGCCUAAUACAUGCAAGUCGAGCGAACAGACGAGGAGCUUGCUCCUCUGACGUUAGCGGCGGACGGGUGAGUAACACGUGGAUAACCUACCUAUAAGACUGGGAUCACUUCGGGAAACCGGAGCUAAUACCGGAUAAUAUAUUGAACCGCAUGGUUCAAUAGUGAAAGACGGUUUUGCUGUCACUUAUAGAUGGAUCCGCGCCGCAUUAGCUAGUUGGUAAGGUAACGGCUUACCAAGGCAACGAUGCGUAGCCGACCUGAGAGGGUGAUCGGCCACACUGGAACUGAGACACGGUCCAUACUCCUGCGGGAGGCAGCAGUAGGGAAUCUUCCGCAGUGGGCGAAAGCUUGACGGAGCAACGCCGCGUGAGUGAUGAAGGUCUUCGGAUCGUAAAACUCUGUUAUUAGGGAAGAACAAAUGUGUAAGUAACUAUGCACGUCGUGACGGUACCUAAUCAGAAAGCCACGGCUAACUACGUG
rnacentral:rRNA from 1 species